AACGAACGCUGGCGGCAUGCCUAACACAUGCAAGUCGAACGAGACCUCCGUGUCUAGUGGCGCACGGGUGCGUAACGCGUGGGAACCUGCCCUUAGGUUCGGAAUACUUCCCCGUCAGGGGUGCUAAUACCGGAUAAUGUCUUCGGACCAAAGAUUUAUCGCGUUUGGAUGGGCCCGCGUUGGAUUAGCCAGUUGGUAGGGUAAAAGCCUACCACGGCGACGAUCCAUAGCUGGUCUGAGAGGAUGAUCAGCCACGCUGGGACUGAGACACGGCCCAGACUACUACGGAAGGGAGGAGUGGAGAAUAUAGGACAAUGGGGGAAAGCCUGAUCCAGCAAUGCCGGGUGAGAGAUGAAGGCGGUAGGGUAGUAAAGCUGUUUUACACGGGAUGAUAAUGACAGUACCGGGAGAAUAAGCUCCGGCUAACUCCGUG
rnacentral:rRNA from 1 species